rnacentral:lncRNA from 1 species
GGAAGUAGGAGGGUCUGCCGGGGAUUGGCAGGGAUGUGUCAGCUGACCGGAGCGUUCGUGGCGAACCGUUCGCGGCAAGUUCACGAACGGUUCGUGACAUCACUAUUGGGGAGUGUGUUUCCACCAAACGCUGCUCUUCUCAAGUGAAUCCAGUUGAACAAAGAGAUUGAAGUCCCAGCAUUGUUUGUGCCGUCGAGUGUCUGAUUAUAGUUCCAUGCACUUGACAACCAAACACAGCUGUAUGUGUUCGCGGCUAAAGAUGGCCGCCGCCACAUGUUUGCACAUACGAACAACGGCCACCCAGCUAACCACUUAGAACGUUGCGGUUAGCGAGGUCAAUAAGGCAGCACACGACUGUUCUGGGUGGUCAGUCCGAUCGACAGUUCAUUCGGUAUACAAACAGCAUUAAUCUAAUCUGUUCGGUAAGCCCCAUAUACCGAACCAUAGAGGACAAAAGGGACGAACAAAGCCUCUCCACAGCCCUGAACCAAGGUCUAAUACAUGGGCCAUAGUCCUGGGGCAAGAGGCUGGCAAGCAGUCCCCUCCAAGAACCAGUGGCGAGGUUACUUUCGCGACAUGCAGUUUGGUAGAACUAGCAGCCAACAGUAAAAUAGAUAAAUAACCCAUUUAGCAAACUGAGGGUUAGCCAUGUGGCAGUUUGCAAAAAGUUAAUCUAAAGAUAUAAGCUGUAUUACCAUGAGAGGUUAACAACAGGCCCUCCUCCUGCAUAUUAUAAUUAAGGCCCACACUCACCACCAAUGGGAGGAGGGGCAUUAAAAGUCCUCCCCCUGAAUAUUAUAGCCACCCCCACACGCUGCCCAUAGAUGGAGACAAGUGGUGGACAAUAACCUGUCCAUCGCCCCAUUACUACAACUACCCUGAUGCACACAGCAAAUAGCGGUCCAGGCGCUGAAGGGAGGAUCUUACUGACCCCAAUCGGCUUUUUAUGUCGCCACUGGCUUUUAACUAUAAAUAACAAAUAGGAUUUCUUUUCCUCUCAACACGGCACGGUUUUGAAGCCUCCUGGUCCGGAUUUCAGUGAUUCCGCAACGUUUGGUGUGAAUGGGCCUGAAUUACAAAAUCAAGACAUUGUGAAAUAUGAUUAACAAUGUCUGGAUUUUGCAGUCCAAAUGUCCCAGUACAGAAGUGAAUGGUUUUGCCUCAUUCGGUAUGGUGCCAUUCGGACUUUAGUGAAUAACCCCGAAAGUGGUUCACUGGUCUCUAUCCCAGCUGGAGAAAAGUUUAUUAUUCGUGAACGGUCAAUGGGAUUAUUUACUAAUGUGAAAACACUGUAUUCCUAACGCUACAGCAUUCUGGUGCCGGUUUAGUUUCCAACCUUCCCCCCCCACUUUAUUUAACAAAAAACUCAUUUUCUCCAGGUGCUGUUGCCCACACCACCUCCCACAAUGUAAUCCAGCUCUCUCACUGAUUGCUAAUCUAAUGCUCCUCACAUGGAAACACUGGCUACUGCUAUGCACAAGCAGCGAUCAUCCAAAUGCUUCCAGUGCCUCUAAUGACUGUUUGAAAAUCCUACAAUGGAACCAAUGCAGUUCAUACCCUCUAGGGUUAAAACUACAAGGCAACUGCACCCAGACCAGUUCAUUUAGAAUAAGAGGUUAGGGUGCCCUUAAUGGUCCUCGAACUUCUUUGGAUACCAGUAUCACUUGCUUGUUGACAACUUCCAUAUUAAAAACAUUGCACAUAUUUGCACCUAACACAAGAUGUUACUAAAUGCAAUUGUUCAAGCGCAUCAUUCCGCACCUUGAUUAUUGCUAUUUUCUCCUCAUUGGCCUUCCCCAUACCUGUAUAUCCCCACACUAGUCUGUUAUAAAUGCUGUGGUCGGGCUUAUCUACCUCACCCAUUGCUCCUCUUUCACCUCAACCCUCUGCCAGUCUUUACAUUGGCUUCCUGUAUCAAUUAGGAUCCAAAUCAGACUACUGUCAUUGACAUACAAAGCAUUUAACAACUCUAAUCUCCAUUACAUUUCCUCUCUAAUGCACAAAUAUACCACUUCUGCUUGCUCUCAGAUCAAUCCACCUCUGCUAAUUCUUGUCCAUAGAACUUCUCAAAGCCUGCACUUUUUAUAGGGAAUGCUCUAACCUGUUCUAUUAGUCUUUCUACUAACCUCCAGUCCUUACGACAUCACUAAAAAUGCACCUCUUAAGGAAAGCUUACCAACUGCCUGGGUAGCUUCUCACAUGCUACCAGUCCUCCCACCCCCCACACACACAUUACUUAUGCAUUUAUUCG